CUACGGGAGGCUGCAGUGGGGAAUCUUAGACAAUGGGGGAAACUCUGAUCUAGCCAUGCCGCGUGAGCGACGACGGCCCUAGGGUUGUAAAGCUCUUUCAGCAGGGAAGAUAAUGACGGUACCUGCAGAAGAAGUCCCGGCUAACUCCGUGCCAGCAGCCGCGGUAAUACGGAGGGGACUAGCGUUGUUCGGAAUUACUGGGCGUAAAGCGCGCGUAGGCGGAUUGUUAAGUCGGGGGUGAAAUCCCGGGGCUCAACCCCGGAACUGCCCUCGAUACUGGCAGUCUUGAGUUCGAGAGAGGUGAGUGGAAUUCCGAGCGUAGAGGUGAAAUUCGUAGAUAUUCGGAGGAACACCAGUGGCGAAGGCGGCUCACUGGCUCGAUACUGACGCUGAGGUGCGAAAGCGUGGGGAGCAAACAGGAUUAGAUACCCCAGUAGUC
rnacentral:rRNA from 1 species